GGGACCCCAGCCCUGCGUGAUCUCACCAUGUGCGGAUUUGCGAGGCGCGCCCUGGAGCUGCUAGAGAUCCGGAAGCACAGCCCCGAGGUGUGCGAAGCCACCAAACAUCCCAGUUACCAGUGUCCUUGAAUUGAUAGUGGCUUCUGUUUGUCAGUCUCAUAUAAAAACUACAGCUCAUCAGGAGGAGAUCGCAGCAGGGUCAAGUUCCUAACGAGUCUUCAGAGGAGGCAGCAGGAAGCUCAGAGAGCUGCAAAGCAACCGUGCCCAUCUGUCAAGACAUUCCUGAGAAGAACAUACAAGAAAGUCUUCCUCAAAGAAAAACGAGUCGGAGCCGAGUCUAUCUUCACACUUUGGCAGAGAGUAUUUGCAAACUGAUUUUCCCAGAGUUUGAACGGCUGAACGUUGCACUUCAGAGAACAUUGGCAAAGCACAAAAUAAAAGAAAGCAGGAAAUCUUUGGAAAGAGAAGACUUUGAAAAAAUAAUUGCAGAACAAGCAGUUGCAGCAGGAGUUCCAGUGGAGGUUAUCAAAGAAUCUCUUGGUGAAGAGCUUUUUAAAAUAUGUUAUGAGGAAGAUGA
rnacentral:sRNA from 1 species